GGAGGAAAGUAGGGGAUCGCAAGACCUUGCGCUUUUGGAGCGGCCGAUGCCUGAUUAGCUUGUUGGUGAGGUAAAAGCUCACCAAGGCUCCGAUCAGUAGCUGGUCUGAGAGGACGACCAGCCACACUGGGACUGAGACACGGCCCAGACUCCUACGGGAGGCAGCAGUGGGGAAUUUUGGACAAUGGGGGCAACCCUGAUCCAGCCAUGCCGCGUGAGUGAAGAAGGCCUUCGGGUUGUAAAGCUCUUUCAGCCGGAACGAAACGGUCACGGUUAAUACCCGUGACUACUGACGGUACCGGAAGAAGAAGCACCGGCUAACUACGUGCCAGCAGCCGCGGUAAUACGUAGAGUGCGAGCGUUAAUCGGAAUUACUGGGCGUAAAGCGUGCGCAGGUGGUUUUGUAAGUCAGAUGUGAAAUCCCCGGGCUUAACCUGGGAACUGCGUUUGAAACUACAAAGCUAG
rnacentral:rRNA from 1 species